rnacentral:rRNA from 1 species
AUUGAACGCUGGCGGCAGGCCUAACACAUGCAAGUCGAACGAGUGGCGGACGGGUGAGUAAUGUCUGGGCAACUGCCUGAUGGAGGGGGAUCACUACUGGAAACGGUAGCUAAUACCGCAUACCAUCGGAUGUGCCCAGAUGGGAUUAGCUAGUAGGUGGGGUAAAGGCUCACAUAGGCGACGAUCCCUAGCUGGGCGGAGAGGAUGACCAGCAACACUGGAACGGAGACACGGUCCAGACUCCUACGGGAGGCAGCAGGGGGGAAUAUUGCACAAUGGGCGCAAGCCUGAUGCAGCCAUGCCGCGUGUAGGAAGAAGGCCUUCGGGUUGUAAAGUACUUUCAGCGGGGAGGCGUUACCCGCAGAAGAAGCACCGGCUAACUCCGUGCCAGCAGCCGCGGUAAUUC